CGCCGCGACACGGGAGAGCGUCGUGACCCGCGAGGGUCUCGGCCGCCGAAGGAGCAACACCUCUCCGCCAAUCUCUCAGGCCCCAGGACCGUGUCGUACGC
rnacentral:ncRNA from 2 species